AACGACGCUGGCGGCGUGCCUAACACAUGACAAGUCGAGCGAGAAGUCCCGUCGGGGGCGAGUAAAGCGGCGGACGGGUGAGUAAUACAUGGAUAAUCUUCCCUCGAGCCUGGGAUAACCCUGCGAAAGUGGGGCUAAUACCGGAUAAGACCACAUGACACAUGUCACGGGGUAGAAGGUGGCUUGUAUUUAUAUGAGCUAUCACUUGAGGAUGAGUCCAUGGCCUAUCAGCUAGUUGGUGAGGUAAGAGCUUACCAAGGCUAUGACGGGUAGCUGGUCUGAGAGGACGACUAGCCACACUGGGACUGAGACACGGCCCAGACUCCUACGGGAGGCAGCAGUGGGGAAUAUUGGGCAAUGGGCGAAAGCCUGACCCAGCGACGCCGCGUGGGUGAUGAAGGCCUUCGGGUUGUAAAACCCUUUCGUGCGGAAAGAAUAGUCCUGUAGCGAAUAACUACGGGAUUUGACGGUACCGCAGGAAGAAGCACCGGCUAACUCCGUG
rnacentral:rRNA from 1 species